rnacentral:rRNA from 1 species
GACGAACGCUGGCGGCGUGCUUAACACAUGCAAGUCGAACGGAAAGGCCCUGCUUUUGUGGGGUGCUCAAGUGGCGAACGGGUGAGUAACACGUGAGUAACCUGCCCUUGACUUUGGGAUAACUUCAGGAAACUGGGGCUAAUACCGGAUAGGAGCUCCUGCUGCAUGGUGGGGGUUGGAAAGUUUCGGCGGUUGGGGAUGGACUCGCGGCUUAUCAGCUUGUUGGUGGGGUAGUGGCUUACCAAGGCUUUGACGGGUAGCCGGCCUGAGAGGGUGACCGGCCACAUUGGGACUGAGAUACGGCCCAGACUCCUACGGGAGGCAGAAGUGGGGAAUAUUGCACAAUGGGCGGAAGCCUGAUGCAGCAACGCCGCGUGCGGGAUGACGGCCUUCGGGUUGUAAACCGCUUUCGCCUGUGACGAAGCGUGAGUGACGGUAAUGGGUAAAGAAGCACCGGCUAACUACGUG